UAACAAUGGAACACAUAGCAUUGAUUCCAAAUAACGUUUUAUGUUCAUAGAAAAAGCAGCAUUUUCAUGUGUGUACCAGUGCCAGUUCAGAGUGACUCCACCUUGGCCUGUGGGUUUUCCAGCUUUAUAUCAGCAAAAGCAAGUCCAGAGUUAGGGCCUGGCUUCUCUCCAAUGUGUUGAACCACUUUUGGCACGUGCAGCUCUUCACACAGAGAGCCAGUGGCUCUCAGCACAGUUCCAAGGCUGCAGGAGCCUAAAGUGCUUUGUGCGUGAGAUUAAAAAGCUGCAAGUCUCAGGCCAUCUGGCCAACCAAAUGGAUUUCGUGUACAGGAUCACUGCCAGAUGUAUGCCAGUUGUAAGUUUAAUUUUUGAACAUAUAAAGUGCCU
rnacentral:lncRNA from 1 species